AACAAAUAUAGUUAAUAAAAUAAUAUUGUCCAUAAUUUUUAAUUGUAAUUUUUGGGCAAGUCAAAAAAUUGAAAAUUUACUAUUUCAUCUAUAAUCUAUAAUCUAUUUAUCAUAUAUGUACAAGCGCGAAUUUAGAAGAAAAAAAAUUGAACUAACGAGAGUAUCCUUUAUUUUCUAUUAUAUUACUUGUACAAGCCCAAUUUAUGCCCGGGCCCAAUAAGCCCAAUAACAAAACACCAACCCAAAACCAAAAACUAGCAAAAAAGAUAAAAAAAAUAAAACCCUAGGCACUGCACCUAGGUCCGCGCCACUUGCUCUGCCACCGCCGCAC
rnacentral:lncRNA from 1 species